rnacentral:snRNA from 1 species
AUAUUUACCUGACAGGGGAGAUGCCAUGAUCACAAGGAGGUUUUCCAGGGUGGAUGCUUAACCAUUACACUCCGGUUGUGCUGACCCCUGCGAUUUCCAGCACAGUCUGUGGUGGUCGGGCACUGGUUCACAACCCCUCCCCC